CCUACGGGAGGCAGCAGUGGGGAAUUGUUCGCAAUGGGCGCAAGCCUGACGACGCAACGCCGCGUGGAGGAUGAAGACCUUCGGGUCGUAAACUCCUUUCGAUCGAGACGAAUGUUUUCCGGGUGAACAAUCCGGAAAAGUGACGGUACCGAGAGAAGAAGCCCCGGCUAACUCUGUGCCAGCAGCCGCGGUAAUACAGGGGGGGCAAGCGUUGUUCGGAAUUACUGGGCGUAAAGGGCUUGUAGGUGGCCAACUAAGUCAGACGUGAAAUCCCUCAGCUUAACUGGGGAACUGCGUCUGAUACUGGAUGGCUUGAGUUUGGGAGAGGGAUGCGGAAUUCCAGGUGUAGCGGUGAAAUGCGUAGAUAUCUGGAGGAACACCGGUGGCGAAGGCGGCAUCCUGGACCAACACUGACACUGAGGAGCGAAAGCCAGGGGAGCAAACGGGAUUAGAUACCCCGGUAGUCCUGGCCCUAAACGAUGAAUGCUUGGUGUGGCGGGUAUCGAUCCCUGCCGUGCCGAAGCUAACGCAUUAAGCAUUCCGCCUGGGGAGUACGGUCGCAAGGCUGAAACUUAAAGGAAUUGACGG
rnacentral:rRNA from 1 species